rnacentral:rRNA from 1 species
AUUGAACGCUAGCGGGAUGCUUUACACAUGCAAGUCGAGCGAUCGGCGGACGGGUGAGUAAUGUAUGGAGACUGCCGGAUAGAGGGGGAUAACUACUGGAAACGGUAGCUAAUAACGCAUACUAUCGGAUAACCCAUAUGGGUUUAGCUAGUAGGUGAGGUAAUGGCUCACCUAGGCGACGAUCCCUAGCUGGUCGGAGAGGAUGAUCAGCCACACUGUGACUGAAACACGGCCCAUACUCCUACGGAGGCAGCAUGGGGGAAUAUUGCACAAUGUGCGAAAGCCUGAUGCAGCCAUGCCGAGUGUAUGAAGAAGGCCCUAGGGUUGUAAAGUACUUUUGGCAGAGAAGCGGUAUCUGCAUAAUAAGCACCGGCUAACUACGUGCCAGCAGCCGCGGUAAUAC